rnacentral:lncRNA from 1 species
UAGCCAGAGAGUCUGCAGGCACAGGGAAGCCGACUUUCGUAGCUAUGUACUUUCCGUGGGAAUGUCUAUUGCGUAACCACCCUGAAAGCAGUUACAAGCACACAUACAAACGCACUCGUUCUAUAAGAUGAUUUUACCUGUUACAUUUUCUUUGAUAGACUCUAAGAAUUGUUUUUUUUUUUUUUAAUCACGUACAUGUAUCUUAUUGACAGGAAGACCCCCUAUUAAGACGCCAACAUUGACCUGCUGCAUCCCACGGUGUAAUUGUGGGAACCGGAUGAGGUCCCAAGAGAAUGUGUGUUGUUGAUAGGAGCAUGGCCAUAUCAAGGGUGCCGAGGGUUGGCACCAUGUGCAGUUAGUAUCAACUGCAGCUUCCUCCUCCCAGUAGCCCGAGACUACUCCCCUGCAGAGAGGCCCUGCCCAGGCUAGCCAGCCUCCUCAUUCAGGUCGAUACCAUAAACCCGCCUCCACACUCAGACACUCUGAGUUUCUGCACUGCUGGUGGGUUUCCGUCAGAGGGCAUGGCUCACUCCAUCGAGGCCUUUCUGUACAGGAGUCUGCCUUGCUUCAUUCCCUGAUGCUCCAGUCAGAUCAGUCUCAAAGCCGUGCAGGAUUUCAUAAGUGGUGCCUAAAUGGGAACCUUGACCACAGGGCACCCACAUCCGUCCGGCGAGGGGUGCUCUCAUGAGAAGGGCCCCAAUCCAGCUUC